rnacentral:lncRNA from 1 species
CAGGGAUCUCAGCUUCUGUCCCUCUAUCAACUAAAUCUACCACACAACAAACCAGGAGUUGUUGCCAACAACAGGGCAGGAUCAGCUAGAAGAAGGGAGCAUCCAGCUCUAUGCAGCCAGUUCUGAGAUUUCAACCAGGACUUCUCCAAGCAUCUAGCACUUUAGAACUGCACCCAGGGAAAACAAGAGCGAAGGAAUGAAAGCAAGAAACCUGCUGGAGUUUGGAGGAAGAGAAGCUACCAGGAGGACACGCUGGGAUCAGAGUGUUGCAGUGAGGCAAAUGGGGGAAAUUCUGGUGAAAUGGGCAACUCAAGUCUCUCAUUUGGCAGUAGUAAGUUGAAGUAUGUAAGCUCUGUGACAAGAUGGAAAGUCUCUGCACAUACAUUCACCCUAGGGUGUACUGUAUAGGGAUCUUCUGUCACAGGGCCAUGUUUGCACAGGUAGAACUAUUCCUUGCCAAAGUGAUGAAUACUCUUGGCCCCAUGAAGGACCACAUCUGGCCUCAUUUGUUCCUAUCACUCAGGUUGCAUCAGAGGUCUGAGAGAAAUAAAACUGAUUUCUUAUUUUGCUCCACUUUCUGUUGUGCACUGCAGACUAAGAGUGCAACAAUCACCCAGAGGAGAGGCAUGAGGUUGUUAAGGAGGUAGAUGCAGCAACUCACCUGCCACCAAAUCUAAACCCAUAUUUUCUG